UACGGGGGGGGCAAGCGUUGUUCGGAAUUACUGGGCGUAAAGGGCUCGUAGGCGGCCAACUAAGUCAUACGUGAAGUCCCUCGGCUUAACCGGGGAACUGCGUCUGAUACUGGAUGGCUUGAGUUCGGGAGAGGGAUGCGGAAUUCCAGGUGUAGCGGUGAAAUGCGUAGAUAUCUGGAGGAACACCGGUGGCGAAGGCGGCAUCCUGGACCGAUACUGACGCUGAUGAGCGAAAGCCAGGGGAGCAAACGGA
rnacentral:rRNA from 1 species